AGUUUGGGUCUUGCUGGCGCGAGGUAGUCAGAGGACGUGGCCGCGGGGCUUGCUGGGACUUGAGGUUAGACGUCCCGGCCGUCGGUUGCCGCCUACACUGUCUGCCGUCGCGUCGCAGUUACUAAGGCGUGGGGAAGAUAGCGGCAGGCACCGCAGUGGAGCGGCUCCGAGAUCCCCGGGGGGCUCGCAGGCGCGCAUCCCUCCUGACUGGGACGUCGCCUCCGCAGACCCCUCGGAGGCUGAAGCGACGCCGGAGGCAGGCAAAGAAACAAGUGAAGAAACAAAAAAAAAAGGAAGUUAAGGGGCCAUUCCCAAAGUCAAAGAUCAAAGUCUCAAUAUGUUGCCCAGGCUGGUCUCAAACUCCUGAGCUCAAAUGAUCCUCCUGCCUCCCAAAGUGCUGUUAUCACAGGAGUCAACCACUAUGCCCGGCUUCCUAAUAAUUUUUACUGCUGCUCUCAAAGUUUUUGACAACGCACUUGUGUUGCUGGCAAACAACAUUUUCACCGCAAUGCUGAGCCACUGCUAACAGACCAUUAGCUAAAAAUUUACAAAAGUGAAAAAAAUCAUGUAUCCAUUUAAAUAUUCAAAUGAAUCAUGUUGGUGUUUUCUCAAUAUGGAGUUCUGUACAAGUUUUUGUUUCUUUGUUUUCAUUGCUUUUGGUUGUUAUUUAUAAGGAUUUGAGAACUUGGUCUCUAGAAGAGAGUUUUUAUACUGAAAAAGACUAAGGGAGGGUGAGAAAGUAGCAUUUUAAAUGUGAAUAAAAAAUAUCAAUUGCU
rnacentral:lncRNA from 10 species